rnacentral:rRNA from 1 species
CGUAGGGUGCGAGCGUUAAUCGGAAUUACUGGGCGUAAAGCGUGCGCAGGCGGUUUUGUAAGACAGAUGUGAAAUCCCCCGGGCUCAACCUGGGACCUGCAUUUGUGACUGCAAGGCUAGAGUACGGUAGAGGGGGAGUGGAAUUCCGCGUGUAGCAGUGAAAUGCGUAGAUAUGCGGAGGAACACCGAUGGCGAAGGCAAUCCCCUGGACCUGUACUGACGCUCAUGCACGAAAGCGUGGGGAGCAAACAGGAUUAGAUACCCUGGUAGUCCACGCCCUAAACGAUGUCAACUGGUUGUUGGGUCUUUACUGACUCAGUAACGAAGCUAACGCGUGAAGUUGACCGCCUGGGGAGUACGGCCGCAAGGUUG